rnacentral:rRNA from 1 species
UACGUAGGGGGCGAGCGUUGUCCGGAUUUAUUGGGCGUAAAGAGCGUGUAGGCGGCUUGGCAAGUCCGCUGUGAAAACUCGAGGCUCAACCUCGAGACGUCGGUGGAAACUGCCUGGCUUGAGUCCGGAAGAGGAGAGUGGAAUUCCUGGUGUAGCGGUGAAAUGCGCAGAUAUCAGGAAGAACACCCGUGGCUAAGGCGGCUCUCUAGUACGGUACUGACGCUGAGACGCGAAAGCGUGGGGAGCGAACAGG